GACGAACGCUGGCGGCGUGCCUAACACAUGCAAGUCGAACGAAGUAUAGUAAUAUACUUAGUGGCGGACGGGUGAGUAACGCGUGAACAAUCUGCCCUGUACAAAGGAAUAGCCUCGGGAAACCGGGAUUAAAACCAUAUGACACUUUAGUACCGCAUGGUACAUAAGUCAAAUUGAUUUAGAGGUAUGGGAUGAGUUCGCGUCUGAUUAGCUAGUUGGUAAGGUAACGGCUUACCAAGGCGACGAUCAGUAGCCGGCCUGAGAGGGUGAACGGCCACACUGGAACUGAGACACGGUCCAGACUCCUACGGGAGGCAGCAGUGGGGAAUAUUGCACAAUGGAGGAAACUCUGAUGCAGCGACGCCGCGUGAGUGAAGAAGGUCUUCGGAUCGUAAAACUCUGUCCUUGGUGAAGAAAAAGACGGUAGCCAAGGAGGAGGCCCCGGCUAACUACGUGCCAGCCGCCGCCGUAAAAC
rnacentral:rRNA from 1 species